rnacentral:snRNA from 1 species
UCACUCUGGCUUCUCUUCAGUUUGUCGAAUGAAUCUUUCGCCUUUUACUAAAGAUUUCCGUGGAGAGCACUCUAAAUGAUACACUAAACAAGUAAAACAGCCUUACGUCUUUA